rnacentral:lncRNA from 1 species
AAAAAUACAGCUCAAUAAUAAUUCUCUUUUCUUCCAACGGUAAGAAAAGAAUAAAAUAAAAAGGACAACACACACUCUCUCUCUCUCUCUCUCUCUCUGCUGGGAACGGUUCUCUCUCUAAGCUCACACCACUCACUCUCUCUGUAAAAAAACGAAAAAAGAAAAGAAAACAAGAAGAGGACUUUUCCUCUUCUUCUCCGAAUACGCCACUCUUAUACGUUGUUAACCCUCCAUCUUCCUCGCCGCCGGAAACCCCAUUCGCCUCCCUCCUAACCGG